rnacentral:pre_miRNA from 1 species
UAAUUUUUCUGGGAUAAAUCAUUAUUUAGUUGUGGUAGAUCAAUACUUGACUGCGUAGACUCACCUAUUAUCGCAUAUAUACCCGACUACAUGAGAAAUUGUUGGUCUUGGUUCUUAAC